rnacentral:rRNA from 1 species
UACGUAGGGGGCUAGCGUUGUCCGGAAUCAUUGGGCGUAAAGAGCGUGUAGGCGGCUCGGUAAGUCCGCUGUGAAAGUCCAGGGCUCAACCCUGGAAUGCCAGUGGAAACUGUUGAGCUAGAGUCCGGAAGAGGCGAGUGGAAUUCCUGGUGUAGCGGUGAAAUGCGCAGAUAUCAGGAGGAACACCAAUGGCGAAGGCAGCUCGCUGGGACGGUACUGACACUGAGACACGAAAGCCAGGGGAGCGAACGGG